GUAAUAGGUUGAGCCGCAAUUCUUUCGAGCUAAGUCAUCGGCGUUCUGGCCGUUUUUUGGCAACAGUGAUAGCUGGGAUAUAACCGGCGUCUCACGAGCUUUUGAUUGGUACCAAGCUUGGUUGCUGGGGUGGCUGGAAUCAUGAGAUUCAACAAGGCCACGUUCAUGGAUCAGGUCAGGUCUUUGGGUUGGUUUGACAACUUCUCUCACUCUCAUGUGUGGUCUUUCUUUCUCUCUCUCCUCCAAACCUUUAUUAUUUAUUUUUUUCUUAACCACCUUUCUUUUUUUUUUCACAUAUGUUAC
rnacentral:lncRNA from 1 species